rnacentral:rRNA from 1 species
UGUCCCGGUUUAAGCGUGUAGGCUGGUUUUCCAGGCAAAUCCGGAAAAUCAAGGCUGAGGCGUGAUGACGAGGCACUACGGUGCUGAAGCAACAAAUGCCCUGCUUCCAGGAAAAGCCUCUAAGCAUCAGGUAACAUCAAAUCGUACCCCAAACCGACACAGGUGGUCAGGUAGAGAAUACCAAGGCGCUUGAGAGAACUCGGGUGAAGGAACUAGGCAAAAUGGUGCCGUAACUUCGGGAGAAGGCACGCUGACACGUAGGUGAAGUGAUUUACUCAUGGAGCUGAAGUCAGUCGAAGAUACCAGCUGGCUGCAACUGUUUAUUAAAAACACAGCACUGUGCAAACACGAAAGUGGACGUAUACGGUGUGACGCCUGCCCGGUGCCGGAAGGUUAAUUGAUGGGGUCAGCGCAAGCGAAGCUCCUGAUCGAAGCCCCGGUAAACGGCGGCCGUAACUAUAACGGUCCUAAGGUAGCGAAAUUCCUUGUCGGGUAAGUUCCGACCUGCACGAAUGGCGUAAUGAUGGCCAGGCUGUCUCCACCCGAGACUCAGUGAAAUUGAACUCGCUGUGAAGAUGCAGUGUACCCGCGGCAAGACGGAAAGACCCCGUGAACCUUUACUAUAGCUUGACACUGAACAUUGAGCCUUGAUGUGUAGGAUAGGUGGGAGGCUUUGAAGUGUGGACGCCAGUCUGCAUGGAGCCGACCUUGAAAUACCACCCUUUAAUGUUUGAUGUUCUAACGUGGACCCGUGAUCCGGGUUGCGGACAGUGUCUGGUGGGUAGUUUGACUGGGGCGGUCUCCUCCUAAAGAGUAACGGAGGAGCACGAAGGUUGGCUAAUCCUGGUCGGACAUCAGGAGGUUAGUGCAAUGGCAUAAGCCAGCUUGACUGCGAGCGUGACGGCGCGAGCAGGUGCGAAAGCAGGUCAUAGUGAUCCGGUGGUUCUGAAUGGAAGGGCCAUCGCUCAACGGAUAAAAGGUACUCCGGGGAUAACAGGCUGAUACCGCCCAAGAGUUCAUAUCGACGGCGGUGUUUGGCACCUCGAUGUCGGCUCAUCACAUCCUGGGGCUGAAGUAGGUCCCAAGGGUAUGGCUGUUCGCCAUUUAAAGUGGUACGCGAGCUGGGUUUAGAACGUCGUGAGACAGUUCGGUCCCUAUCUGCCGUGGGCGCUGGAGAACUGAGGGGGGCUGCUCCUAGUACGAGAGGACCGGAGUGGACGCAUCACUGGUGUUCGGGUUGUCAUGCCAAUGGCACUGCCCGGUAGCUAAAUGCGGAAGAGAUAAGUGCUGAAAGCAUCUAAGCACGAAACUUGCCCCGAGAUGAGUUCUCCCUGAGACUUAAAGUCUCCUGAAGGAACGUUGAAGACGACGACGUUGAUAGGCCGGGUGUGUAAGCGCAGCGAUGCGUUGAGCUAACCGGUACUAAUGAACCGUGAGGCUUAACCUUACAACGCCG